rnacentral:rRNA from 1 species
CUACGGGGCGCUGCAGUGGGGAAUAUUGGACAAUGGGGGCAACCCUGAUCCAGCGAUGCCGCGUGUGUGAAGAAGGCCUUCGGGUUGUAAAGCACUUUCAGUAGGGAGGAGGCGUACUUUGUACGUGACGUUACCUACAGAAGAAGCACCGGCUAACUCUGUGCCAGCAGCCGCGGUAAUACAGAGGGUGCGAGCGUUAAUCGGAUUGACUGGGCGUAAAGGGCGCGUAGGCGGACUAAUAAGUUAGAUGUAAAAGACAUUGGCUCAACCUGUGACGCGCAUUUAAUACUGUUAGUCUUGAGUACAGUGGAGGACAGAGGAAUUCCCGGUGUAGCAGUGAAAUGCGUAGAUAUCGGGAGGAACACCAGUGGCGAAGGCGACUGUCUGGGCUGUAACUGACGCUGAGGCGCGAAAGCGUGGGGAGCGAACAGGAUUAGAUACCCGUGUAGUC